ensembl:ncRNA asRNA:CR44958 antisense RNA:CR44958
UUGAUCGCCGAAACGAAGAGGAGCACGGCCGUUGAUCGGCUGAGCAGGAACAGCAGCGAGAAGUAAAAGUAGACGGCGUGGGCGGAGGAGGGCAUGGUGCUGAUUAGCAGGAAGAGAAUCAUUUCAAGCUGUGCCAUCGUCUGCAUAACUAACUCACUUGAUGCUCUUGAGGAGCUGCAGGCAGAUGAAGUACAGAUUGCUGCCAAACGAUAUCAGCAUUAUACCGGACACGGCGUCAUCCACCUCCCGUAUGAGCUCUACUAUGGAGCGAUAAAGAGUGCGUGACCACGUCCAAUAGGCUUCCGGCAUGGGCUAUAAAUAUCCAUCCUCGAUCAUGAUGGAUGUGUGUUAGGAAAGUUAGUUAGUUAGCCCACCUGUCGCACCUGCUGCUCCAGGCUGCGGUUCAGCCUGGCCAACAUCUCGCUGAGACCCAUGCCCAGCAUCAUUAGGAAUAUGUCCAUGUAACUCCAGCCGAAGGUGAGCAGCACAUUCUGGAUCUUGCCCAGCCAAGCCAGCCAGUUGGAGUAGGGGAACACUUCGAAUAACUGGGCACUGGCGCCAAGCAAAUAGGAUUCCACGGGAUCGCUUCUUCGUGGGCAGAAGUCGUAGUAAACCACCGAAAUGAUGCUCAGCAGGUGUUCCACUGGAAAAAAAAGCACGCCCGGUUAUACUCAGCGAAAUCCAAACCCAAACAAAUUUGGUGACCCAACUCAGUGAAACUACCAGCAGCACGAAGGCCACCAACUUGAGGCGACGGGCAGGACGAGCACGUUGCAGGCAACAGGUGUAGCCCGGUAGCCGUCGCUCCACCGCCGCCCAGUGGCGCAUCAAUCCAGGCCAGAGUUGGGCCAGGUUCAGGAACUGCCAGGAGGCGAUCAGGAUGCUAACGUGAAAAACGAUGGGCUCUAAAUGCACACUGUGGGCCACACGGCGAAUGCUGAAGGCCAGAUCCACCGACGUGGAGCAGAGGUACAAGGAGCUGUACCAGAAUCGCCAGCUGCGCCGAUUGAAGCUUAAUCCCCUGUACGUUGGAGCACUGAUUCCACACACGGGCAUUAGGCAAAAGCACUGGGCCACCGCCAGAACUGGAGCAACUGCCUCAUGGAAGGAGCCAUCGUGUAGGAAGUUCUUUCGCGUUCCCCGCACCUGGCUUUCUGGAUUGUAAAAGAUGCCGAACAGCACGAUUGCACCGAUUUCGCCCUUUCAGCUGUCGCAUUGUGUACAAGCUCUAAAUCCUGACUAAACGGCAAAAAUGCAGCAGGAUAUCAUAGAAGUCCACAUGUUAUCAACUAAUGGCCAGUGAUGAGGAAUAAAAC